UCACCGAGAGUCAGGCUCCAGCGUGCUGAGUCCUGGUGGAGAUACCUCAGCGGAGAAGGCGGGAGAGUCGUGGUUCUCCGAGCAAAUACAAGGAUUUUAAACUCCGCGUCGCAACCCUGGGGACCUGCGCCAGGGCCGGGACAGGAACCGCCCUUCCCGCGGCGGCCUCUUCUCCCGCAGCUCCCGCCCCGUUCCGCCCACAGAGUGUCAUGGCGGCGCCGGCGCUGAGACGCGGGGCUGAGGUUGGCGUGACCUUUGAGGACAUUGCCCUGUACUUCUCCAGGGAGGAAUGGAGCCUCCUUGAUGAGGGUCAGAGACAGCUGUACCUGAAUGUGAUGCUGGAGAACUUUGAACUUGUAUCCUCACAGGCUCUGUGAUGUGAGCCAGCAUCUGAUCUGAACCGGAAGAGGCACUGUGGGAACCUCCAUUUGAAACCAACCGGAGGUCACAGAAGUCGGAAGUUGGAAGAAGCCGGGAACCCUGCAACAUUUGAUUAGCAUCUGAAGUGGGAUAGAAAUCGUUUUUCUUACUGAGCUCUUAACCUGUGGGAUCUGACACAAUUGUAUCUGAACUGAACUGAACUAAACUUUAGGACACACACACAGCUUGUGUGCAGAAUUUUUGGUGUGGGGCUCUCCACAACUCCAUAAACACAUUUUUUUUUCAAUAAAUUUUUAAUUGAUUUUUACAGAGAGGAAGGGAGAGGGAUAGAGAGAAUCAUCGAUGAGAGAGAAACAUGGAUCAGCUGCCUCCUGCACACUCCCUACUGGGGAUGUGCCCGCAACCAAGGUACAUGCCCUUGACUGGAAUCGAACCUGGGGCCCUUCAGUCUGCAGGCUGACACUCUGUCCACUG